UGGUGGAGUGAUUCGUCUGGUUAAUUCCGUUAACGAACGAGACCUCGACCUGCUAAAUAGUCCGGUGUACCUUCGGGUAUAUUCGUGGCUUCUUAGAGGGACUGUCGGUUCAUAGCCGAAGGAAGUUCGAGGCAAUAACA
rnacentral:rRNA from 1 species